rnacentral:tRNA from 1 species
GCCGGUUUAGCUUAGUGGUAGAGCGUCAGUCUUGUAAACUGAUGGACGGUGGAUCAAUCCCGCCCUCCGGCG